CAGGACGCUUUCCGACGGCGGCGAUUUCAUUGACGUCGCCGACCAACGCCAUUGCACCGAGUGUGCUGAGGACGACGGAGCUUGGUCUUCGACGGCGGGGGCGGCGAUGCCGAGGGCACUGGCCCGGCAGCCGA
rnacentral:sRNA from 14 species